rnacentral:rRNA from 1 species
UACGUAGGGCGCAAGCGUUGUCCGGAAUUAUUGGGCGUAAAGAGCUCGUAGGCGGUCUGUCGCGUCUGUUGUGAAAACUCGAGGCUCAACCUCGGGCUUGCAGUGGAUACGGGCAGACUAGAGUGCGGUAGGGGAGACUGGAAUUCCUGGUGUAGCGGUGGAAUGCGCAGAUAUCGGGAGGAACACCCGUAGCGAAGGCGGUACUCUGGGCCGAAACUGACGCUGAGGAGCGAAAGCGUGGGGAGCGAACAGG